AUUGAACGCUGGCGGCAUGCCUUACACAUGCAAGUCGAACGGCAGCGGGGGAGAAGCUUGCUUUUCCUGCCGGCGAGUGGCGAACGGGUGAGUAAUACAUCGGAACGUGCCCCGUAGUGGGGGAUAACUAGUCGAAAGAUUAGCUAAUACCGCAUACGACCUGAGGGUGAAAGUGGGGGACCGCAAGGCCUCAUGCUAUAGGAGCGGCCGAUGUCUGAUUAGCUAGUUGGUGGGGUAAAGGCCUACCAAGGCGACGAUCAGCAGCUGGUCUGAGAGGACGAUCAGCCACACUGGGACUGAGACACGGCCAGACUCCUACGGGAGGCAGCAGUGGGGAAUUUUGGACAAUGGGCGAAAGCCUGAUCCAGCAAUGCCGCGUGUGUGAAGAAGGCCUUCGGGUUGUAAAGCACUUUUGUCCGGAAAGAAAUGGCUCUGGUUAAUACCUGGGGUCGAUGACGGUACCGGAAGAAUAAGGACCGGCUAACUACGUGCCAGCCGCCGCCGUAA
rnacentral:rRNA from 1 species